rnacentral:rRNA from 2 species
CUGGACGAAGUCUGACGGAGCAACGCCGCGUGAGUGAUGAAGGUUUUCGGAUCGUAAAGCUCUGUUGUUAGGGAAGAACAAGUGCCGUUCAAAUAGGGCGGCACCUUGACGGUACCUAACCAGAAAGCCACGGCUAACUACGUGCCAGCAGCCGCGGUAAUACGUAGGUGGCAAGCGUUGUCCGGAAUUAUUGGGCGUAAAGGGCUCGCAGGCGGUUUCUUAAGUCUGAUGUGAAAGCCCCCGGCUCAACCGGGGAGGGUCAUUGGAAACUGGGGAACUUGAGUGCAGAAGAGGAGAGUGGAAUUCCACGUGUAGCGGUGAAACGU